rnacentral:rRNA from 1 species
AUUGAACGCUGGCGGCAGGCUUAACACAUGCAAGUCGAGCGGAGCGGCGGACGGGUGAGUAAUGCCUAGGAAUCUGCCCGGUAGUGGGGGAUAAGGUCCGGAAACGGGCGCUAAUCCCACAUACUAUCAGAUGAGGCUAGGUCGGAUUCGCUAGUUGGUGGGGUAAAGGCCUACCAAGGCGACGAUCCGUAACUGGUCUGAGAGGAUGAUCAGGCACACUGGAACUGAGACAAGGUACAGACUCCUACGGGAGGCAGCAGAGGGGAAUAUUGGACAAUGGGCGAAAGGCUGAUCCAGCCAUGCCGCGUGUGUGAAGAAGGUCUUCGGAUUGUAAAGCACGUUAAGUUGGGAGGCGUUACCAACAGAAGAAGCACCGGCUAACUUCGUGCCAGCAGCCGCGGUAAUUC